CUGGGAGAUGUUAUGAGGACAAUCCUACAAAACUAUAACGGCACAGGUGCAAUAUCAGUGAAGACAAUUGAGGAAGUGGUCUCUACUUUCCUGAAGAAAAAAGCCAACCAUAAAAGAGAUGAAGAUGAUAACAUGCCGAAUUAUCUCAACAUCAAAUUCGGUGGCUUUGGAAAAUAAUUUGCAGAAAGUGCACCACAUGUUGUAACUCAAAUUCUGCAAUAAAUUUCGUGGGAAAGGCAGCUACUUUUGUAUAUAUGUACAUAAUGAACUCUAUUUAUGUAAUAAAGUACAAAUACUGGUAAAAUAUGAAAAAAGAUUAAGU